GAUGAACGCUGGCGGCGUGCCUAAUACAUGCAAGUCGAACGCUGGAGAUCUAGCUUGCUAGAUCGAAGGAGUGGCGAACGGGUGAGUAAUACAUAAGCAACCUACCCACGAAGACUGGGAUAAUCUCUGGAAACGGGGACUAAUACCGGAUAGGUAAUCGGAAGGCAUCUUCUGGUUAUUAAAGGUUAAAAACACUGGUGGAUGGGCUUAUGGCGCAUUAGUUAGUUGGUGAGGUAACGGCCCACCAAGACGAUGAUGCGUAGCCGGCCUGAGAGGGUGAACGGCCACAUUGGGACUGAGACGCGGCCCAGACUCCUACGGGAGGCAGCAGUAGGGAAUUUUCGGCAAUGGGGGCAACCCUGACCGAGCAACGCCGCGUGAGUGAAGACGGCCUUCGGGGUGUAAAGCUCUGUUGUAAGGGAAGAACGGUAGAUAGAGAAUAUCUAAGUGACGGUACCUUACCAGAAAGCCACGGCUAACUACGUG
rnacentral:rRNA from 1 species